CUACUCGGGUUUCUCUUCAUAUCGUACAAGUCUUUCGCCUUUUACUAAAGACUUCCGUGGAGAGGAACACUAUUGAGUUCAACUGAUUUUUGGCAGGCUUAGCCUUGUAGCUGAGCC
ensembl:snRNA U5 U5 spliceosomal RNA